GAUGAACGCUGGCGGCGUGCUUAACACAUGCAAGUCGAACGAAGCAUUUGCGAGAGUUUUUUUCGGAAUGUAGUUGCUUAUGACUGAGUGGCGGACGGGUGAGUAACGCGUGGGUAACCUGCCAUGUACGGGGGGAUAGGCGAUGGAAACGGAUGGUAAUACAGCAUAUGCGCAAAAUGUUGCAUAACAUGGUGCGAAAAAUUCCGGUGGUAUAAGAUGGACACGCGUCUGAUUAGCUAGUGGGUGAGAUAAAAGCCCACCAAGGCGACGAUCAGUAGCCGACCUGAGAGGGUGACCGGCCACAUUGGGACUGAGACACGGCACAGACUCCUACGGGAGGCAGCAGUGGGGAAUAUUGCACAAUGGAGGAAACUCUGAUGCAGCGACGCCGCGUGAGUUAAGAAGUAAGGCGUUAUGUAAUGCUCUAUCAACAGUGAAGAUAGUGACGGUACCUGACCAAGAAGCGCCGGCUAAAUACGUG
rnacentral:rRNA from 1 species